AAUGCUUGCAUGGCGGUUUUAGGAAACUGGAAUGAUUGUCCCGAGGACGAGAUUAUACAUUAUGUUUUGGACUUUUGGCGGUCUUAUCCUAGCACUUUUAUGCUUAGGUGUAAGUGGCUCACAGUCUCUUUAUGAUGUUCAGUGGCUUCCUUGUCCGUUUGUGGAUGAGAAAGUUCAUGUAAAUGAAGAAGGCCACACAGAAACCAAGUAUAUCAACAGAGAGGCUGUGCUUCAAUUUGGUAAUGUCGGCGACAAGCCUUUACACCCUACCAUUACCUUCCUUGUCACAGCCUCUAAAGUGGAUAUGAGACGUUAUUUGGAGGGAAGUGAGGAUACACUACACUGUGAGAUCCGUAGAUACAGCACUGGAGGGAUUGUAAUGCGCUGGCCCACCGCAGGAGCGCAAGAUCAUGACGUCUGGUUCACCUGUACAAUACGCCAUACACAAGGCUUGUUUGUCAUCACCACCUUCCUCAGGCACACAACUGCGACUCCAGCUCAAGGACAAGUGGAUUUCCUGCAAUGGAUAAUAGUCAAUGAUAGGGAUCUCCUGUCAA